UUGACUUUUCAGCCUUUUGGAGAAGCUCAAGUGUAGUGUCUGUUCUUACCAGUUGCUUAUCUGACAGGUAGCUGUAAGGAUUCCCUGUUAAAUAGUAUUGAGGAGACAGAAGAUGCUUUGGGACCUUGCUGCAGACGCUGCACAUGUGGCCCUGGUAUUGCAAAACCUCCCGGUGUGCCAUUAGCCCU